rnacentral:rRNA from 1 species
UGCCAGCCGCCGCGGUAAUACGGAGACCUCGAGCGUUACUCGGAUUCACUGGGCGUAAAGGGUUCGUAGGUGGCCAAAUGUGUCGGGUGUGAAAUCCCACAGCUUAACUGUGGAACUGCGCUCGAAACUGUUUGGCUAGAGACUCGGAGGGGUAAGCGGAAUUCCAGGUGUAGCGGUGAAAUGCGUAGAUAUCUGGAGGAACACCAACGGCGAAGGCAGCUUACUGGACGAGAUCUGACACUGAGGAACGAAAGCGUGGGGAGCGAAAGGGAUUAGAUA